AUGCAUGCGGUCGAACGAAACUUUCUUACACCGAAUGCUUGCAUUCACCGUAAGAAGUUGAGUGGCGGACGGGUGAGUAACACGUGGGUAACCUGCCUAAAAGAAGGGGAUAACACUUGGAAACAGGUGCUAAUACCGUAUAUCUCUAAGGAUCGCAUGAUUCUUAGAUGAAAGAUGGUUCUGCUAUCGCUUUUAGAUGGACCCGCGGCGUAUUAACUAGUUGGUGGGGUAACGGCCUACCAAGGUGAUGAUACGUAGCCGAACUGAGAGGUUGAUCGGCCACAUUGGGACUGAGACACGGCCCAAACUCCUACGGGAGGCAGCAGUAGGGAAUCUUCCACAAUGGACGCAAGUCUGAUGGAGCAACGCCGCGUGAGUGAAGAAGGUCUUCGGAUCGUAAAACUCUGUUGUUAGAGAAGAACACGAGUGAGAGUAACUGUUCAUUCGAUGACGGUAUCUAACCAGCAAGUCACGGCUAACUACGUGCCAGCAGCCGCGGUAAUACGUAGGUGGCAAGCGUUGUCCGGAUUUAUUGGGCGUAAAGGGAACGCAGGCGGUCUUUUAAGUCUGAUGUGAAAGCCUUCGGCUUAACCGGAGUAGUGCAUUGGAAACUGGAAGACUUGAGUGCAGAAGAGGAGAGUGGAACUCCAUGUGUAGCGGUGAAAUGCGUAGAUAUAUGGAAGAACACCAGUGGCGAAAGCGGCUCUCUGGUCUGUAACUGACGCUGAAGGUUCGAAAGCGUGGGUAGCAAACAGGAUUAGAUACCCUGGUAGUCCACCGCCGUAAACGAUGAAUGCUAGGUGUGAGGUUUCGCCCUUCAAUGCCGCAGCUACGCAUAAGCAUCCGCUGGGAGUACGACGCAAGGAUGAAACUCAAAGGAAUUGAAUGUUC
rnacentral:rRNA from 2 species